GGGAUGAUGAAUUUUUAUCCUGGAGCCCCACCAUGUUUGAUGGGAUCAGGGAGAUCUCUCUACCUCUAAGCGCCAUCUGGGCCCCUGAUAUCAUCAUUAGUGAGUUUGGAAGAUGUAGACCUGGCCUUCCGAGGAGCAGAGAAGACAUUAAGCAUGACAAAAAGGAAUUUUUGAAGGACAGUGAGUGGGAGCUUCUUUCUGUGUCCUCAACAUACAACAUCCUGCAGAGCAACACUGGAGAUUUUGCACAGAUUCAGUUUAACGUAGGUCCUUCCUGUUCCUGUUGCCUACUUCUCUGCAGUCGCAAGCCUUCUCUGCUGGGCUCAAGGAUCUCUGCUCUGUCGUGUAUUCUCAUUCUUUAUCAUCAUCCAAAAACUGAUGAUUCAGGUGGCUCUGGAAGCCCCUUGCAUUACAGCAUUUCACAGACCGGAGAUUCAGUCCCAGAUCCUGGACUCCUACUGUAAGGAUUCCAUAUGUGAGUAAAAAGAGAAGGGUUUCAGGCACCUGAACCACCCACCUUAGCAGGCAUCCUCAAGCCUUUCAGGGCAUACUAACAUCCCCACUCCCAAUUGCUGCUGAGAGGAGGGGGAAACAAAAAAAAAGAAAAGAAAGAAAACCCACAUGCAGCAACAACAACAGAGUGGGAGAAGAGUGUCUCUUUAACGUUACUGUCCUGUUUUUAACUGAGUAAAUUAUUAAUUAAUUCCAGAAACAAAUGCAUAAAGCUAUCAUUAAUUUGACUGUCUUGAGCAAUUAGCUAACAAAUCACCUACAGGAUCCUCAGAGACUCCUGGUGGUUUCUGGAUCAGAGAGAACAGCUGCUCUAAAGGGAUUCGAUGAGAACCCAAGCUUCUCGGAAGCACCACCAGGAUGCUCUUGGCUGCAUUGUCAUGGGACAGUUUGUUCAGCAGGAGCCUGAGGGGUGGGGUGCAGGACAGCGAAACUGCUGUUUUGCACUCCAGAAGCAGCCAUUCUCCCUUCCCUGGCCCUUCUGGCAAACUGUCCUGAUAAGUGGUUUGUAGCAAGUUCAUGCAACUGGUAGAUACGCUGUCAGUAUUCACUUCUGCUUUUCUGCACAAAGUCAGCUAAUAGUGUUGAUAGCUGGGUGGGGAGGAGUUCUUCAUGCCAGGUAAUGUCUGUGAUUGACAAAUAGAGACUACAGGCAGGUCAGGAUGACACACGAGAUGAAUUCUCUUGGAAACAAUCCUUUUGGAUAAGAAGGAAAAUUCAGACUAGCCUAGGUGCUAUGGUUAUGCUGGAUAAUCAUACGCUAAGAGAGGGUGGUAUUGAAAUAAGCUAUUAUUGAGGGCACAGAUGCCCCUCCAUUGGUCAAAAGACGUUCCAUGCAGCUUUCCAGCAAAGCUCUGGUUAAAUCAGGGCCUCCUAGAAAUAGCUGUGGCUUGAACGUGACUAAUGUAUAACUAACUCAUCACAACUCAUACCUUCCUGGUGGUGGAGUCUGGGUGUUUGCCUGUUCUGCUUGGUUUUUAGCAAAGCUGGCGUCGUGGCUUAUUUGUCCACUUUUUUUUUUUUUUUUUAAGUGAGAGAAAGGGAGGGGAAAAAAGAAAGCUUUUUUAAUUUCAAUGAGUUUCUUGGCUAAGAGUAAACACCUCAUUAAUUUUAAAGAUAUCAGCCCACAAACAUUAUUAAUGCAGCCCGAAUAAUGGCGAGCAUUAAAGGGAAAUGUGAGGGAGGAGCACGUGCGAGGUGGAACACAGUCACCUACCAAGCGCUCCGGAGAACGCUGCACACACCAUUACCUACACUGCACGAAGGAGACAAACAAAGGCAAGAGGCAGGGCCGAUAAACAGGAGUGCGCACGCACACACGCACACACACAUACACUCACACUCUUUCCAUAAAGCAGCCAUUAUUUGUAGUUACACGUCACCCUUUACCCUGAAUAUUAAUUUGUCUUCCCAGUCGUGGCGAAAGGCUUUCUAUGUAGUAUGUCCGUUUUUAAAUAUGAUGGACAGAGGCGUAAAACAGUGCUUACAGAAGGAGAAGCUUCCCUGUGUCUCGGGAACAGUGAUCCCAUCCCUUUGCUCUGUUCACCGCCAUGCUUCCUCUGCAUUUACAGUGUUUACAUUGAGGUAUGCCAGAGGUGGGCAUCGACAGCACUGUAUGCUUUUGGAGCUGUUUCCUGCGUCUCUUUGCCCUGGGGGCUGCUUUCCACCCUCGCCCUCUGGAACAGAGUAGGGAGAGAACCCUGAGUAGUCAUAGAUCAUGUUUCAUAGGCAGGGAGCCAUGCCCAGAAGCAGUUAUACAACUUUGGAAAGACUUAAAGUAGAUUCAGUGGCUAUCCUAGGUCUCUUGUCUCCCUUGGCCUCUCUCAGCCCCCAUACCUCCGCACACCUGCUAUGUGCCCUGAUGGGUUCAUGAUCUCUUACUCCAUACCAGUCAUCCUGCUCUGAAGUUAACAACUGAGGCAUCCUGGUGACCUUCGGAAGCCUUUGGGCAAUGACGUGAAAUUGAGAGCCCGGUUCUUUGCCAGCACUGGUCUGCCAGGGUCCUGACAGCAAAGGGCCAUCUCCCUCCUGAUCUAAUCACCUGCAUUGUCCCUGUCCAGGCUGCCCAGUGCAGGGGUGGAGACAAGUGGAGCAGACAGGAGGAAAGAUGAUCUAAAUAUCUUGUCCCUCUGGGCCUGAUGUACAUUGCUGCCAUUACUACUAAAUCAAGUGCUCAGGAUUCCUGGUUAGCUCGAGCUAAUGUGCAGUCAUAUCUGCUGGCUCUAGAACACGUAUUGUUUAUCAGAGGGCACUGCUAACACAUUGGAGUCAGGCUACAUUCCACAGCGGGCUCAGAGCAUGGGCACCUUUUGCCUACAAGGAGGUCUGUGUGCAGCCUGGCACCUGCUCCAACAGCCAUAGGAGGAAAGAUUCCCUCCAAUACAUUAUCGGACAUGCUGCUUCCAGAAACAGAAGGGUGAGCAUUCCAUGUCUACGUGGCAGCUUUUUGUUUUUUUGUUGUUUAAAAAAAAAAAAAAAAAAAACGAGGGUAGAAGUGGGAGGAGGUAGGAAUAAAAUGUGAGAAUUCAUUUUGGAUGGAAAAGGGUGGACAGCUGUUGGAAGAACUAAAGUGAGCCCAACACGCACAUAUACUCACAAUGAGUGAGAUGUUCAUGCAGGCAGGGCUGGGAGCCUUCCCGGGCACCCCUGGAAAAAUGCAGAGGGGCAAUUGAGAAAGCAAGGUGCCCCAUCUUUUCCUCUUUUUCUGGCAUAGUUUUCUUUUAUAGAUUAGGUUAGAGUAGUUUUGUUGAGAUAUCCAUUGAAUGCAGCUCAUGAACUUGAGAGAGGUUCCUUCUGAACUCCACCAGAUCGGGAGGGGAGUGAGAGAAUGAGAAUUUAGAGCCCUAGAAAUCAUUCCAGGGUCACUCAAGCACCCUGACAUCAUGGACUUUGUGCUAACCCAGCCUGACCCAUGGUCCAGAUCCAACUCUGAGUCCGGAAGCUCUCGCUCCUGUGCAGGGAUCUUACUUAAAUGGCAGCAACUUUCCCAUUCUUUCUGAAUUGGGAAUGGUGGGAGGGGCUUGGGAGAGGAGGAAAAUGGGCUUCUGUAUGAAGCGUGAGUCUGGGCGUCAAAAAUUCCAGCUAUGUCAUAAAGACGGUCAUGCAAAAUUGAGUACUGGUGGGGUCUACCAUCAAGGAGGCAAUUAGAGGCUAACCUUGGGGCCUAUUCCAUCUCCAAGGAGCUCUCCACACACACAUUCUGAAUUAGAUUGAUCUCUUUCAUUAACAUCAAUAGGCUCCAAAUACCUUUGUGUACUUAUUAUUACCUGGCUUUAAUGGAUAAUGAAAUUGUGGCAUAAUAUUGCUAACACCUGAAGGGUGUCUAAUGGAGAACACGGACUGAAACUAAAGUGCUUUUUCUUCCCUUUCUGUGGAAUUUAAAGGCACCAGCUCCUUUAGUCCAUUAGAAAUGAUGGGCUCUAGGUAGGGGCAGUUCCACGGAGAGUGGUCUCACUGAGCUGGUGACAUCCCUUCCCCCCCUAGCAUCAGCCAUCAGCUGGAGUCCCUUACUGUCUCUGGAAUGACCCGCCGAGAGGUAGCCCUCAGGGGAUGGAUCUCAAUAGGAGAAGCCCUAUCUGUGAUAACUCCAUGCUCCCACCUUCUUGGAACUAAAAGUAACAUUACUAAUAAGACUCCAGUACAACGCAACGAACAUCUCUUGAGCCCUUAUCAUGUGCCAGGCUCAGUGGCCCCACUGAGGACACAAGCAUGGGUAAAGAGGGGCUUCUGCUAUCCAUCAUGGGCCUGGGAUGUUGCCCAGGGAGACAUUGUGACAAUGACCACAAAACCCAGCAUUUACUUGACCCUGGGCACCAUUUUAAGUUGCACAUGUAAUCCUCACAUCUCUAUGAGUUGGGUACUCUGAGUAUCUGCAUUUUUACAAAUGGAUGGAUCGGGGUACAGAGAAGUUAACUUGCCCAAGUUUAAGUAACUUGCCCAAGGUUACAGGGUAACUGUGGAGCCUGACUUUGAGCCCCCAGUCAGUCUGACUCCAGAGACUAUGUGCUAAUCCUCUUUGAUGUUGACAUGCAACUCGGCUUGACAUGGUCUAUUCUAGUCCAUUCUUUGGCGUUCAUCCAACUGUGUGUUACUGGGCAAGUAACCUGUGCUCGUUUCCUAGGGCUUCCAUAACAAAGUACCACAAACUGGGUGGCUUAAAACAACAGAAAUUCAUUCUUUCAGCUCUGGAGGCUGGAAAUCAGGGUGUGAGCAUGAUUACUUCCUUCUGGGAGCUCCAGAAACCAUCUGUUCCGUGCCUCUCUCUUAGCUUUUGGUGGCUGACAGCAACCCUGGGCUUGUAGGUAUAUCAGUCCAGGAUCUGCCUCCACCCUCAUGUGGCAUUCUCCUUUGUGCGUCUCUCUUCUUCUCAUAAGGACCCCAGUUGUGUUGGCCCACCCCACUGCAGUCAGCCCUCAUCUUAACCAAUUAUAUGUGCGGUGAUCCCAUUUCCAAAUAAGGUCACAUUCUUACCUUCCAAGAAGGACAUUAUUCAACCUGGACAGUCCACUACCCUCUCUGGCUCCCCCAAAUUCAUGUCCAUCACCUAUGCAAAAUAUCCACCCUCUCCCAACAUCCCUAAAUGUCUUACCCCAUUUCAGCAUCAACUCUGAGACCAAAAUAACAUCUAAAUAUAAACUCAGAAAGUCCCAAAUCACAUCGUCUAAAUCAGGUACAGACUCUGGAUAUGGUCCAUUCUGGGGCAAAUUCCCUUUCCAUCUUCAGAGUCUGGUUGCUGAUCCCCUGGGAUGGGCAGAAACCUGUCCUAUUAACUCUUCUAAUUCCAGUAUUUAAAAAAAGUGUCUGACGCUGCGUUUAUGGUCAGUUAAUGUUCCUUCAACAAGAGAGUAAAGAGAUUUGAAGAUCAAAUGAGAUCAUGAAAACAAACCAUUUCUGAAAACUGUGAUAAAAUUAGAAUUUCUUUAGGCUGCACUGGGCUUGCAGAGAAAAUUAGUCCAUAAGUACAUUGCUCCUAAAUCAACCUGAAGAAAAAGGAAGUCCCCUUGUUCUUGAAGAAAACCAAAGAGGGGGCCUAUGUAGCUUUAUAGUGUUAUAAGCCAAACAUAGGUGGCAGGAUUUCUGCUUUAUGUUACAGGACAGCUAAUUGUCUGCCUUGUAGCCGCCAUGUUUCCCUUGCACUUCCGGCUGCUGGCACUAUCCAGUGACAGAUAUUCUCCUGACAGGACUGGGUACAUUCUUGGUGGGGUCCGGUGCAAAGGGAAAAUGUGGGACCCCCUGUUCAUAAAUUACGAGUUUCAAAAUGGCACCAGCAGAGCCUGAAACCAAACAAGCCCUUGUAAGUGCCAGGACCCGGGAAGUUUCCCAAGCCUCAUGCCCAUGAAGCCCGCCUACCUCGCAGCCUCUUGGCCCCUGCCACACCUCUCCCCUGGCACUGUGGGGGACACAUGGUCUGACAAAACUGAGGAGCCGUCUUUGGUUCUGACCCAGAUUUAUGUUCACUCUCUGCACCAGCCUCUGGGUGGAGAGGAACCAUCUCAGCAUGUGUUAUUUACACAGGGGCUUUAUUUAAAGAGACAACAGCCAAUCUCAAAUGUACCCAACAUGUUCAGCAAGCAAAAGUGAAGUGCAUUUU